GACGUAGGGCGCGAGCGUUGUCCGGAUUUAUUGGGCGUAAAGAGCUCGUAGGCGGCUUGUCGCGUCGUUCGUGAAAACUUGGGGCUCAACCCCAAGCUUGCGGUCGAUACGGGCAGGCUAGAGUUCGGUAGGGGAGACUGGAAUUCCUGGUGUAGCGGUGAAAUGCGCAGAUAUCAGGAGGAACACCGGUGGCGAAGGCGGGUCUCUGGGCCGAAACUGACGCUGAGGAGCGAAAGCGUGGGGAGCAAACAGG
rnacentral:rRNA from 1 species